rnacentral:piRNA from 1 species
UAAAUCACAACCACAAUGGCCAAAAAA